UUGCCCUAGUAACGGCGAGUGAAGCGGCAACAGCUCAAAUUUGAAAUCUGGCUUCGGCCCGAGUUGUAAUUUGCAGAGGAAGCUUUAGGCGCGGCACCAUCUGAGUCCCCUGGAACGGGGCGCCAUAGAGGGUGAGAGCCCCGUAUAGAUGGACGCUAAGCCUGUGUAAAGCUCCUUCGACGAGUCGAGUAGUUUGGGAAUGCUGCUCAAAAUGGGAGGUAAAUUUCUUCUAAAGCUAAAUACCGGCCAGAGACCGAUAGCGCACAAGUAGAGUGAUCGAAAGAUGAAAAGCACUUUGAAAAGAGGGUUAAAUAGCACGUGAAAUUGUUGAAAGGGAAGCGCUUGUGACCAGACUUGCGCCGGGCUGAUCAUCCGGUGUUCUCACCGGUGCACUCUGCCCGGCUCAGGCCAGCAUCGGUUCUCGCGGGGGGAUAAAGGCCCUGGGAACGUAGCUCCUCCGGGAGUGUUAUAGCCCAGGGUGUAAUGCCCUCGCGGGGACCGAGGUUCGCGCAUCUGCAAGGAUGC
rnacentral:rRNA from 1 species